GGGCCCGUAGCUCAGUGGAAGAGCGUCGGCUUUGCAAGCCGAAGGCCCCGGGUUCAAAUCCCGGCGGGUCCA
rnacentral:tRNA from 1 species